rnacentral:rRNA from 1 species
GACGAACGCUGGCGGCGUGCCUAAUACAUGCAAGUCGAACGCAGUGGGGACGGGUGAGUAACCCGUGGGCAACCUCCCAUCAGAGGGGAUAACACUUGGAAACAGGUGCUAAACUGUUAUUUAUGGAGUGUUCCGGGGUGCAUUAGCUAGUUGGUCAGGGAACGGCUCACCAAGGCCCCGAUGCAUAGCCGACCUGAGAGGGUGAUCAGCCACACUGGGACUGAGACACGGCCCAGACUCCUACGGGAGGCAGCAGUAGGGAAUCUUCGGCAAUGGACGAAAGUCUGACCGAGCAACGCCGCGUGAGUGAAGAAGGUUUUCGGAUCGUAAAACUCUGUUGUUAGAGAAGAAGUAUAUAACCAGAAAGCCACGGCUAACUACGUGCCAGCAGCCGCGGUAAUACC